UAUUUCAUCACUCCCAAAUGUGCAUCCGACUCAUAGUGCGCGAAGCAAGUCCUAGAGACCAUGGUGCCGCAAAUACAGCUAAACCCCGCAAAUAAGCUGGUACACCUAAUGCAGAGGGCAUGACUGCAGGGUUUAAUCAAUAGAAACCCCAGGCCGACAUAUAACCUCAAAUGAUAGAUGAAAUAAAAGUCUCAUUUUCCUCGAGUUCAUUCGGAAUGGACAACCUAGGAAUCAUCCUAUCUCUGGACAAAAUCCUAGCCCUACAAUUAGGGCAAGAGAUCCUUCCAUCGGGACCGUGACUGCGAAUUGACCAGUUUCUCAAGCAACAAGUGUGGAAUCUGUGUCGGUAUUCCACUGACAUCGCGAUGAAAUGUCCGUACAACAUCAACUCAUGACAUCGAACAAUAUUCACUGCGGAAUCCAAUAGAUGAGUCGAACGAGUCACUCACCUUUUCCUCUCCAAAUAGAUUUUUGAUCGAUGAAAGCAUGUCUUCUGCCAUUGUUGCUUGCUCAAACGUUCCCUCACUUCCAAAUUGUUUGAACUAUCUAACUUUUGCAUUUUUCGGUUGCAAGCUUUCAAAUGGAUACAAACAAUUAGAAUGUAUCCAUUUGAAACCUUGUAGCCGAAGAAGGUAAACAUUAGAUUGUUCAAACAAUUUGGAACUGAUGGAAGGUUUAAGUGAGCAACAAUGGCGGUAGACAUCCUUACAUCGAUCAGAAAUUUGUUUGGAGAGGAAGAGGUGAGUGACUCGUUCAACUCAUCUCUUGGAUUCCGCAGUGAAUAUUGUUCGAUAUGUCAUGAGCUGAUGCUGUACAGACAUUUUAUCGCGAUGUCAGUGGAAUGCCGACACGGAUUCCACACUUGUUGCUUAAGAAACUGGUCAAUUCGCAAUCACGGUCCCGAUGGAAGGAUCUCUUGCCCUAAUUGUAGGGCUAGGAUUUUGUCCAGAGAUAGGAUGAUCUCUAGGUUGUCUAUUCCGAAUGAACUCGAGGAAAAUGAGACUUUUACGAUCUGUUUCAUCUAUUAUUUGAGGUUAUAUGUUGGUCUGGGGUUUCUGUUGAUUCAACCUUGCGGUUAUGCCCUCUGCAUUAGGUGUACGAGCUCAUUUGUCGGGUUUAACUGUAUUUGCGGCACCAUGGUCUCUAGGACUUGCUUUACGCGCUAUGAGUCGGAUGCACAUUUGGGCGUGAUGAAAUACCUUUAUAGUGAAACCAGACCUAGAUGCAGUAGCUUUGUACUACGACAUCCAUCACGGGCAAUUGCGCCCUAGCCAGGCCAGAUCUAGUACAGGUGAGCCCAAAACUUCAUCAAUAUAUUUGGCUUUGUUGAGAAUGACUACAUAAUUUUACUAUGCACAGGUCUUAAUUUUAAACCAUUGAUGCAUCGAACUUCAUCUUGAAGUAAUUCCUUAAACUCUAUUGUCUUUUUCUUUUAUAUUUAUUUUGUGUAAUCAUAUUGAUUACAUGUGUGUGUAUAUUCCUCUAUUUGGAAGAGUCCAUCAAGAAUUGUUUUAUUGUAAAUUCUAGCAUAAUAAUGGUUUAAUAUACCUGAUGAGGUAGCUUCAUUGGGAGUUUAACUUCAGUGUUUGGAGUUAGCUUUAAGUUAAACUAUCGUAGGAGGAGUUAUAUAGAUUCUGAUGGAACCCUGUCACCAAUAAACCAAAGGAAAGUCAAAUGGGACGGCCUCACCAACUCGACAUUACUCAAUUUAUGAAUCAAUCUUUGUUGCUUCUGUUUCAUUUAAUGUAGUUCAUUAUUAUAGGACACACUAUGCUUGACACAUAAUCUUGUACCUGGAAAAACUCAAUGUAUCUAUGAGCUUGUAAGCCCACAUUCUAGCACUUGUAAGCUUUAGAAAAUUGGAUACAUUUUGUGGUUGGGCUUGGCUUUGUCCAAAUUGUGCGGUGCAUUUCUUAUACUUGCAUAUCAAUGUGUUGGACAAAUAGCAAUGGCAACAAAAUCAUUACGAAAAUCGUUCUGAAUGUAUAUCUAUUCGUAGAAAAUACUAAAAAAAUUAAUGCCUUGGUUGAUCUGCAAUAAUAAACUACGAGACAAAUGCUAAGAGGUUAAGAUAUGUGUGGCUUGUGAAACUAGAGUGGAAGGUGAAUUAGAGGUAAAAUAUAUGUAUUUCUUGUACAACUAAAAUAAUUUGCAUGAAGGAAUUCAAGUUAUUCCUAUUACAUAGUAAUUUAAAUUUCGUCAUGAUAAAACUGUCAAACUCAAUGGAAAAACCUAUAUAUUAUGUAUCAAAUCCAAAUUUAUUCCAAUUUCAUUGAAUUAUACUGGCAAAUCUCGUUUUUGAACCUAAAUGGAGCCUUAAAUACGAGUUUGUUCCGUUUCACAUAAUGAAUGAGAACCAACGAGUCUGUUAAUAGUUAUUUUUUUCAAAAUAUUGAAGGUCCAUGGACAUUUCAGAUACCUACUAAUAUGUCAUUCACCAGCAUCUCAUUUCACACCAUACCACAAAUUAUGGCUAUCUAUAACAAAUUACAAUUAUUUU
rnacentral:lncRNA from 1 species